AUUGAACGCUGGCGGCAGGCCUAACACAUGCAAGUCGAGCGAGCGGCGGACGGGUGAGUAAUGUCUGGGUAACUGCCUGAUGGAGGGGGAUAACUACUGGAAACGGUCGCUAAUCCCGCAUACCAUCCCAUGUGCCCCGGUGGGAUUAGCUCGUAGGUGGGGUAACGGCUUACCUAGGCGACGAUCCCUAGCUUGUCUGAGAGGAUGACCAGCCACACUGGAAUUGAGACACGGUCCGGAGUCCUACGGUGGGCAGCAGUGGGGAAUAUGGCACAAUGGGCGAAAGCCUGAUGCAGACAUGCCGGGUGUGUGAAGAAGGCUUUGGGUUUGUAAAGCACGUUCAGCGGGGAGGCGUUACCCGAAGAAGAAGCACCGGCUAACUCCGUGCCAGCAGCCGCGGUAAUUC
rnacentral:rRNA from 1 species